rnacentral:lncRNA from 1 species
UAUAAAUACACUGAUCAUAACUGUUUGUUCUUAUUUGAGAUUUUUUUAAUAAAUUGAUCAUAUCCGUUUGUACAAAAUAUAGGAAAAAUAUUUUUUUUUGAUUCCGUCUGUCAUUGUAGGAAUUCUUAUACACUUUUAUAUAUAGUAUAGAUAUAGAUAUAGAUAAUAAACAGGUGUUAUCUACUUGAGAGGUUUUUAUUGUGUAAAAGAUAAUGCAAUUUCUCAUAAGCAACAACAUUAACAACAAAUAUACUUUAUAUGAAUAAGUCGAAAAUUAUAUGUUAGAUCAGUGAAAGAGAUUUAAAUAAUUUAAACUAUGAGAGAUAUUUAUAAAUGCACGUAAUAAUUAUUUUAAUUUAUUUCAAAUCAAUAAAAAUUUAUAAAUUAUAUUUAUCAACAAAUUUAGAAUUAAAUUUAUAUUUUAAAAUUUAAUUUUGAUCCAUUAUAUAAUAAAAUUUUUUAAUUGUUAAUUUAUAUUUGAUAUCAAAAAUUAAAAAUUAAAUCUAAAUCACGAUUUAAACUCAAAUUUAAAUUUUAAUGUAAAAUAGAUGGAUCGAAGUGCUAUUUUUUAUCAUAUUGAUUAUAAUCGUUUAUUUUUAUUUAAAAUAUUUUUAAUAAAUUGUUUGUUGUAGAAUUUAAUUUAUUGAUAGAUUUGAAUGUUUUUUUUUAACAGAUUGAUCAAUCAUAACCAUUCGUUCUUAUUUGAGAUAUUUUUUUUACAAAUUGAUCACGUUCGUAGUAAAUAUUCUUUUUAUUUUUUCAUUCUGUUAAUCUUAUAUGUUUUUAUAUAUAGUACAAAUAUAGAAAGGAAUACUAUUUUUUUAAUAAGUUGAUCAUAACCGUUCAUUUUUAAUUGAUCAUAACUGUUCAUUUUUAAUUGACCACAAUCGUUUGUAAGCUCGAUAUAAAUUAAAAUUUUAACAGAUUGAUCAUAACCGUUCGUUUUUAAUUGAUCACAACUGAUGAAUAGUUCAAAUUUGAUAUCAAAUUAAAUUUAAUUUACGAUUAAGCUUUUUUAAUUAAAAUUUAUAAAAAAUUUAAUUUUCGAUUUAGAUUAAAAGUUUAAUAGAUUGAUCAUAACCGUUCGUUUUUAAUUAUUCGGAUUGAAUUUAUAGAUAGAUUAGAAUGCUAUUUUUUAACAGAUUGAUUAUAACUGUUCAUUUUUAAUUGAUACAAUCGUUCGUAGGAUUUGAUUUAUAGAUGGAUAAGAAUGCUAUUUUUUAACUGAUUGAUCAUAACUAUUCGUUCUUAUUUGAAAUUGUUUUAAUAAACUGAUCAUAUCUGUUUAUAGGAAUAUAUUUGUAGGGAAUAUGAGAAAUAUUAUUUUAUUCCUUUUUGAAUUCCGUCUUUCAUUGUCGGAAUUGAUAAAAUUUCUAUUUUGAAAUAUUAUUUUAUUCCUUUUUGAAUUCCGUCUGUUAUUGUCGGAAUUUUUAUACGCUUUUAUAUAUAUAUAGUAUAGAUUAUAGAUUGAUAAAAUUGCUAUUUUUUAACAGUAACCGUUCAUUCUUAUUUGAGAUUGUUUUAAUAAACUGAUCAUAUCUGUUUGUAGGGAAUAUGUUUGUAGGGAAUAUGGGAAAUAUCAUUUUAUUCCUCUUUGAAUUUCGUCUGUCAUUGUCGGAAUUCUUAUACACUUUUAGUAUAGAUAUAGAUUAUAGAUUGAUAAAAUUGCUAUUUUUUAACAGAUUGAUCAUAACCGUUCGUUCUUAUUUGAGAUUUUUUUUAAUAAAUUGAUCAUAACCAUUUAUUCUUAUUUGAGAUUUUUGUAAUAAACUGAUGAUCCGUUUGUAGUUAUU